AAUGAACGCUGGCGGCGUGCCUAACACAUGCAAGUCGAGCGAGAAAGCUCCUUCGGGAGUGAGUAAAGCGGCGAACGGUUGAGUAACACGUGAGAAUUUACCCUUUAGUGAGGAAUACCCUCGAGAAAUCGAGGUUAAUACUGCAUACGUCCCUUCGGGGAGAAAGGUGGCCUCUUUGCUGCCGCUGAAGGAUAAGCUUGCGGGCUAUCAGUUUGUUGGUGAGGUAAUGGCUCACCAAGACGAUGACGGCUAGCCGGCCUGAGAGGGUGUACGGCCAGACUGGAACUUAGAUACGGUCCAGACUCCUACGGGAGGCAGCAGUGGGGAAUAUUGCGCAAUGGGCGAAAGCCUGACGCAGCGACGCCGCGUGGGGA
rnacentral:rRNA from 1 species